rnacentral:lncRNA from 1 species
AAAAAUCUACAAUUUCGGCAUGUUCGGAGACAAAAUUUGACAUCAGCGCCAACGUAGACCAUCUUGAAAUUUUCAACCAUCAACUGUACUCUUGUGUAUCUUUCACAUAAUAAAAUAUCAUGGUGGUCUACGUUGGCGCUCAUGUCUAAAAAUUUGAAAAAUAAUCCGAUUGUUUACAAUUUUGACAAGUCAUUUUAAUACGUCAAAGUGAACGGCACGGGUACGAAAUUAUUCCGGAAUCCAUAAUUGACCAGAAUAUCACGUACAGACAGUUUUACGUCGUAUCCAGUCAUCAAGACAUG